GUUCUAUCAAAUUCAAUUCUGAGA
rnacentral:siRNA from 1 species